UGCGCACACACGUCGCAACCGCCCUCGAUGAGAUGAAGCUCCCGCUGACGCUGCAUCCUGCGAACCAUCUCGCUGUCCAGUGCCUGCUCCUCCACGCCGCGCUCAGCUCAGACAGCGUCGGCGGCUUCACCAUGGACUACGCCCAGCACGAGCAGUACAACACGGCCGCCAGUAUCGCACGACUGCGCACGCGCUACAACUGGGAAGGGCAGCACGGCCGGCGUCAUACGGUACGGUUGUCGCCCUGCUGGCAGGGACUACUGCGCCCACCGGCAGCGGCUGCUGCCGCCUCCGUGACCAGCAGCAGCGCUGCACAGUCGACGACGGUAGCGGCAACGACAGGGGUCCCGGCCAGUUGUGUUGACGCGCCGUCUUGGUUGGUGCCUCCGUCGUCGGCGCUCGAAACAACGCAGCAGCAGACAGCAGAUGCUAAUCGCGCGCUGGCCUUUGCGGCUCCCGCCCGACUCAUCGCGCUUUACGCCCCUCCCGUCCUCCUUCGCGGGCUGCAACGGCGCAUCCACGACAUGGUCAGCUACGACGCCGCAGUGCACCACGCAUCGCUGCUGAUGCAACUACUCGCUCCAUACGGCAUCCACGUCGCCUUGACCGGCGCCACGCGGCGCGGCUGCCCGUUCUCCCUCCAAGCGGAGUAUCUUCUUUGCCUCACAGAGGCGGCGACGUGCGAGGUGGAGGCGGUGCACCCAGACGACGCUGGCAGGGUGGAGGAGAGCGACAGGGGCGCAGUCGAGCAUGUCAUCAACGACCACGGCGACGACGCCAGCGGCAGCGGUGCGUCCGCAGUGAGCACGGCGGCCACUGCUGUUACCGAUCCUCCGACGCGCGAGGCACGGCGCUCCAAGGUGCGGGCGGAGAGGGCGACGAAGCAGCAGCGGCGCGCAAGGGCGGCGAUUCAGCGUGAUGCACUGAUGUUGCGUCCGCCAUCAUUACCGUCUGCGUCGUCGCUGGCGGCCGCAGCCAGCGUUUCCAGGGAAGAGGAUGGCGGCGCAUCAGCGGUCGCCGGCGGGGGCGCCGGGCACCGUCACCAGGCAUGCAUUCGCGGGCGUCUCGGGGGAUCGCUGCGACGGCGCGACUGCGACCGGCGCAGUGCCUUCUCAUCGGCCGACGACGUAAGCCCGCAGGUUUCAUACCGCGUGCGACGCGCGCUCGAGAGCCUCGUCCGGUGCGGCUACAUCGUGUCCGCCGCCCAGCCGUUCCCGCCAUCGCAGUCGCGUCUCGAGGCACGCAAGGCGAUGUACUUGACAGCGCGCUAUGACCCGCACUUGCCAACGCAGGUGCCACCACGGGCAUGCACCGACCCUGCCGUGCUCCGGCGCCUGCAGCUGCACCGGCUCGUUCUACGCCUUUGCCCGUGGCAUGCGUUUGCCGCGCGGCAGCUGUUCCUAACGGGUCCAGAGGAUUUCACCACCCACGUGACGCUGCAGGCACUCGGUCACGGCGUCGACGUGAACAUGAACGGCGCCUUCAUUCUGGGGAAAGCCUGCGCGGCGAGCGGUGAGGGCGGAGUGGGCAACACAACCUCCGCCAUCGCCGCUAAGGCUGCGAGCGAGGCUCAAGGUGGCUCCUUGCCACCAGUGCACCACAAGGGGCAGACGCGGCGCCGCUGCGACCUUGUCGAGCAGCUGAUCCUGCAAGGUGAGGAGGACCUUGUAUCACUGGCGGGGCUGCCGCGUGUUGACCCGAUGCUGCGUGGUCUCUACUGCCAGAAAAAUCACCUGUGAGGUCGUCUGAGAAAGGAGGGCGGGAAGUGGGCACACGGGUGGAUGCAGUAAGGCGGCUAAAGUAUAUUCACGCAUCCCAUGUCAUCACCUCCUCGUUUGGCCUGCGUCGACUCGACGCUGCAUGACGGCCGCUGCUACUUCAGCUGCUCUUUUUAGUUUUCUUGCAUUAUGCUUGGUUUGCGGUCGCUUUCUCCCGCGUCCAUUUCGUGCGCCGGCUUCCGCCGUUCUACCAGCCAUCCGC
rnacentral:misc_RNA from 1 species